rnacentral:rRNA from 1 species
CGUGAGGUUUGGAGCGGACUAGUACUAAUCAGUCGAGGACUUGACCA